GCCACUUUUUCAUUUAUAUCUCUCCGCUUCUUGUUACACGUUAACUCUUCAAUCUUUGUUCCCUCAAUUCGAUUCAAGUUAGUCUUUCUCCUCCAGUUUGUUCAUCUUGGAAUCUCCAAAUUCAGAAGCUCCUCUGCUCUUUUCAAUUCUGUGGAAAUGGGAGUUUACGAUUCCCUUAGGAACUGCCAAUAAAUUUACAUAAGUGGCGGUGGUCUACUAGGUUUUGGCUCUUUUGGGCGACCAUGAUUUCAGGCCAAUGGGUGCUUCCAGCAAGCCUGGUUAACCGAACUAGACGGAGGGAGUAAUUACCUUGGCAUCCAUGAGGUAAGUAUGGGUUUCCUUGAUAACCUGGAGAGCAGCGGCACAGAUAUCCUACACCGCGAGCUGAGUUUUCACAUGCAGUCAGAGAAGUUAUACUCAUCAAACUUGUCAAAGCUCUUCUCAACUAUCACAAUAUAGCUGCACUGGUUGCUAGCCCAAGCGCUGCCUUUCGUGUUCAUGGUGACAAC